rfam:Ornithorhynchus anatinus chromosome X5, whole genome shotgun sequence.
AGCAGCAUGGCUCAGUGGAAAGAGCCCGGAUUUGGAAGUCAGAGGUCAUGGGUUCGAAUCCCAGCUCUGCCA